UGUGUGGGUCUAUUGUGACAUUCAGUAAGCUUUUGGUUUCCCAGGAUUCCCGUGGACAGAAUGGACUCGGGUAAAGUCUGCCUUCAAAACAAAACACAAACUCGUGCUGUUUUACUUUAAAUGUGCUAAAGAUGUGUUCUGUUUGAUUCAUUGAAAGAGCCGGUGUUUAAGUCAGCGCAGCUGGAUAGGAUUUCAUUUCUAGCUCAACCAAAGAGGUCAAAGGCAGUCUGGGCCACAACACCAUGGGUGUUGACGUGGGGGAAUCAGGAAUCGAUUCGUCCUCUGUCCCGUGCAGCCUUGCAAGCUGUUCCGAGUCCCAGAAUAAAGGCUCUGGCUCAGCACAAAGACCUCGCGCUUCAGAUUCAGCUCAGCUUUCCUCAUUCUCCGCUGUGUGAUCAUGACUGCCCCAUCUGGCAUGUGAGUCCCAGUGUGAGGAACGCGAUCGUCUCUCCUCGAAUCCUCCACCUGGCGAAACCCAAACACAACCACCCCAACUUUACCAGCAACAGACAGUGGUGUUUGUGUGUGUUUGUACAUCCAUAACGUGCAGACCCUGAUCUCAUAUGCAGCUCAAACGGCCCGCAUGACCUCCAGACUCCAGCAGCUCUCCCUGCCCAGACUGAGAGAGAACACACACUUCUGUGAGCCCGGACCACCAGAGAGCCCCAUCACACCCGUGUCCAGAGGAGCGAGAAAAGCCACAGCGAGUGCUCGAAUCCGCAGUUUAUCCACUCCUAAAGCCCUCUCCAAAGACUACAUCCCACCCAGAGACCCGACGUGGCGCUCCUGAAGGACCUUAGGGACGUGAACGAUUCACUCAAGAUUCAUCAUCUGAGCUUUACUGCGGUCUGUCAUCUUCUCACACUGUUUUCCUCCUCUGUCAGGAGCUUCCUUCGCUCUGCUUUUCUAAUAACACUCUCAGGUUUUGGCCUGGACUGAUAUUAUUAUUGUUAGCCUGCUGCCAAACUCAGCUCCUCAAACAGGGCCUUGUGUUUCACUCCUGCACUGUGUCCAGAGCGUCUCUUCUGCACUCACUGGCUGGAGAAAUCACCGUGAGAUGAUCUGAGUAUCCGCAUCUGGUUUGCAGAUCAGCAGAACUUUCAUUCAUCACAGAUCUCACUGAAAUCACGUGUAUGUAGCCGUAUAAAUAUGACUCUUAAAGUCAAGUUAUUUAGGUGUCAGCAUAAUAUGUUGCUCUUAAUGUUGUCUAUUAGUGCUCUGGAACAUUUGCGUUUAGUUGAAUAAAUUGACAAAGAUAAAAUAAA